GUAGGUGGCAAGCGUUGUCCGGAAUUAUUGGGCGUAAAGCGCGCGCAGGCGGUUCUUUAAGUCUGAUGUGAAAGCCCACGGGCUCAACCGUGGAGGGUCAUUGGAAACUGGAGAACUUGAGUACAGAAGAGGAAAGCGGAAUUCCACGUGUAGCGGUGAAAAGCGUAGAGAUGUGGAGGAACACCAGUGGCGAAGGCGGCUUUCUGGUCUGUAACUGACGCUGAGGCGCGAAAGCGUGGGGAGCAAACAGGAUUAGAUACCCUGGUAGUCCACGCCGUAAACGAUGAGUGCUAAGUGUUAGGGGGUUUCCGCCCCUUAGUGCUGCAGCUAACGCAUUAAGCACUCCGCCUGGGGAGUACGGCCGCAAAGGCUG
rnacentral:rRNA from 1 species